ACUAAACCUCUGUAUGUCUUGGUAGAGCCUGCAGUCAGCUCCCCAGGAACCAACAUUUUACAAUAGAAGAUUGAAUGGAUGAAUCACAGGACCUUCAAAGACUUUGCUCCCUCACAAGUUAAAAUUCUAAACAGAAAUUCUGCUCACAUGAAUAACUUGAUUCAAUUACAGGAGAAAGACCAUGAUAAUUAAAAUUUUGAUUGCAUUGAUUAUCAAGUUGCUGGAAACUCCUGCUACCACCUUGAGCAGAGAGCAAUUUCCAGCCCCAGAAGUGAGCUGCCUUGUUUAGGAGUGUCAGACUUCCUAAAUCGGAGAGACUUCCUAAAUCGGAGAGAAAGUGUCUGAGUCUCAGCACCUACCCUUGACGAUGCUUGUGGGAAACGGUCAUGUGAUAUGAGACAUGGUCACGUGAUAUGAGAAAUGGUCACGUGAUAGCCUCUGGUAAUGACUGGGGAUGAUGGACCAGCAAUGUUGAUGGGCAUUGAUCUGUUUCAGAAAGGAAUUAGCUCAGACUUUCAAGGACCGAGAAAUGACUUCAACCAGAAAAAAAAAAUGUUAUCUCAUUUUCUGAGUUCAGAGAUGAGGAAAAAAAAAUAGAAAUGGAGAAAAUCAAGGAUGUGAGAACAAGGAGCAGGAUGAGAGAGCUUGGUCUUCCGAUGUUUAUGAGGAAAUGGCUGUAGUUGUUAAUAUGAGCAAGGUGGUUCUAUGUUGAUCGCUGGACCUGUGAAACAGCUGUGGUUUGAAUUUCAUCUUCAGCCAGGGUUUCCAUGUCACAACUGCAAAGAGCAGGGGUGUUGAUGUCAGAGAAGGAAGAUGCUUUAACCACAUUUCUGGCUUCUACCCACUGGGUAUUGGUAGCUUCCUUCUCAAGUGUGGACACCCAAAAUGUUCCCACACUUUUCCUAACAGCUUCUGCACGGGAGGAGGAUACAACCACCUUCAAAUGUGAGCCUGAAC
rnacentral:lncRNA from 1 species